rnacentral:rRNA from 1 species
GACGAACGCUGGCGGCGUGCCUAAUACAUGCAAGUCGAACGCAGUGGGGACGGGUGAGUAACAAGUGGGUAACCUCCCAUCAGAGGGGAUAAAACGUGGAAACAGGUGCUAAACGCCUACGGAUGUAGGAACCCGCGGUGCAUUAGCUAGUUGGUGAGGUAGCGGCUCACCAAGGCUACGCUGCAUAGCCGACCUGAGAGGCGGAUCGGCCACACUGGAACUGAGACCCGGCCCAGACUCCUACGGGAGGCAGCAGUAGGGAAUCUUCGGCAAUGGACGAAAGGCUGACAGAGCAAUGCCGCGUGAUUGAAGAAGUUUUUCGGGUCGUAAAACUCUUUUGUUAGAGAAGCGGUAUCUAACCAGAAAGCCACGGCUAACUACGUGCCAGCAGCCGCGGUAAUAC